rnacentral:rRNA from 1 species
CAUGAACGUUGGCGGCAUGGAUUAGGCAUGCAAGUCGCGCGAAAGCCACUUUUAGCUUGCUAUUAGGUGGAGGAGCGGCGUAAGGGAGAGUAACGGGUGGAUUAUCUACCCUCGGGUCCGGAACAGCUGUGGGAAACUGCAAGUAAUACCGGAUAACAUCUGCGGAUCAAAGGUGUGAUUCCGCCCGAGGAUGAGUCCGCCUCCUAUUAGCUUGUUGGUGGGGUAAUGGCGUACCAAGGCUACGAUGGGUACCGGGUGUGAGAGCAUGGCCCGGCUCACUGGGACUGAGACACUGCCCAGACACCUACGGGUGGCUGCAGUCGAGAAUCUUCGGCAAUGGGCGCAAGCCUGACCGAGCGAUGCCGCGUGCGGGAUGAAGGCCUUCGGGUUGUAAACCGCUGUCAGUAGGGAGGAAAUGCAUGGGGGUCAUCCUCCAUGUUUGACCUAUCUUCAGAGGAAGGACGGGCUAAGUUCGUGCCAGCAGCCGCGGUAAGACGAACCGUCCAAACGUUAUUCGGAAUUACUGGGCUUAAAGGGUGCGUAGGAGGCGCGGUUAGUCGGAUGUGAAAUCGUACAGCUCAACUGUACAACUGCGUCCGAAACUGCCGUGCUCGAGGAAGGCAGAGGUGAGCGGAACUCAGGGUGGAGCGGUGAAAUGCGUUGAUAUCCUGGGGAACACUGGUGGCGAAGGCGGCUCACUGGGCCUUUUCUGACGCUGAGGCACGAAAGCUAGGGUAGCGAACAGGAUUAGAUACCCUGGUAGUCCUAGCUGUAAACGAUGAGCACUAGGUCGAGGAGACUUCCACAUCUUCACGGCCGUAGCGAAAGUGUUAAGUGCUCCGCCU